rnacentral:tRNA from 1 species
GGGGGUGUAGCUCAGUGGUAGAGUGCAUACUUAGCAUCCAUGAGGCCCCCAGUUCAAUCCCUGGCAUCUCCA